rnacentral:rRNA from 1 species
CAGUCGCCGCGGGAAUACGAAGGGUGCAAGCGUUACUCGGAAUUACUGGGCGUAAAGCGUGUGUAGGUGGUUGUCUAAGUCUGCCGUGAAAGCCCUGGCUCAACCUGGGAAUUGCGAUGGAUACUGGGCGACUAGAGUGCGGUAGAGGAUAGUGGAAUUUCCGGUGUAGCAGUGAAAUGCGUAGAGAUCGGAAGGAACAUCUGUGGCGAAGGCGACUAUCUGGGCCAACACUGACACUGAGACACGAAAGCGUGGGGAGCAAACAGGAUUAGAUACCCCUGUAGUCCCUGUCUCUUAUACA